AACGAACGCUGGCGGCAGGCUUAACACAUGCAAGUCGAACGCCCCGCAAGGGGAGUGGCAGACGGGUGAGUAACGCGUGGGAACGUGCCCUUUGGUUCGGAAUAUUCCCGGGAAACUGGGAGCAAUACCGGAUAAGCCCUACGGGGGAAGAUUUAUCGCCAAAGGAUCGGCCCGCGUCAGAUUAGCUAGUUGGUGGGGUAAUGGCCUACCAAGGCUACGAUCUGUAGCUGGUCUGAGAGGAUGAUCAGCCACACUGGGACUGAGACACGGCCCAGACUCCUACGGGAGGCAGCAGUGGGGAAUCUUGGACAAUGGGGGAAACCCUGAUCCAGCCAUGCCGCGUGGAUGAUGAAGGCCUUAGGGUUGUAAAGCUCUUUUGUCCGGGAAGAUAAUGACUGUACCGGAAGAAUAAGCCCCGGCUAACUUCGUGCCAGCAGCCGCGGU
rnacentral:rRNA from 1 species